rnacentral:rRNA from 1 species
CCUACGGGAGGCAGCAGUGAGGAAUAUUGGUCAAUGGCCGGAAGGCUGAACCAGCCAUGCCGCGUGAAGGUCAGUGCCCUAUGGGCGUUAAACUUCUUUUGUGCGGGAGCAAUAAUGGUCACGUGUGGCCCGACGAGAGUACCGUACGAAUAAGCAUCGGCUAACUCCGUCCCAGCAGCCGCGGUAAUACGGGGGAUGCAAGCGUUAUCCGGAGUUAUUGGGUUUAAAGGGGGCGUAGGCUGUGAGGUAAGUCAGCGGUGAAAUGCUCCCGCUCAACGGGGUGAAGUGCCAUUGAUAAUGGCUUGCUGGAAUGCGGAUGCCGUGGGCGGAAUGUGUGGUGUAGCGGUGAAAUGCAUAGAUAUCACACAGAACACCGAUUGCGAAGGCAGCUCACGAAUCCGCGAUUGACGCUGAUGCACGAAAGCGUGGGUAUCAAACAGGAUUAGAUACCCUUGUAGUC